AGAGGGGGAGGGAGAGAAAGUCUCAUUCCCGGCCUAGCUCUAAGGGUUUGAGCCCGUGUCUUUAAUUUCUGGCCUGAAAAGUCUGUUUGUUGAAAGAAAGAGGGAGAGAGAGAG